rnacentral:rRNA from 1 species
CCUACGGGAGGCAGCGGUGGGGAAUAUUGCACAAUGGGCGCAAGCCUGAUGCAGCCAUGCCGCGUGUGUGAAGAAGGCCUUCGGGUUGUAAAGCACUUUCAGCGGGGAGGAAGGCGAUAAGGUUAAUAACCUUGUCGAUUGACGUUACCCGCAGAAGAAGCACCGGCUAACUCCGUGCCAGCAGCCGCGGUAAUACGGAGGGUGCAAGCGUUAAUCGGAAUUACUGGGCGUAAAGCGCACGCAGGCGGUCUGUCAAGUCGGAUGUGAAAUCCCCGGGCUCAACCUGGGAGCUGCAUUCGAAACUGGCAGGCUAGAGUCUUGUAGAGGGGGGUAGAAUUCCAGGUGUAGCGGUGAAGUGCGUAGAGAUCUGGAGGAAUACCGGUGGCGAAGGCGGCCCCCUGGACAAAGACUGACGCUCAGGUGCGAAAGCGUGGGAGCAAACAGGAUUAGAUACCCUGGUAGUC